AAAAAUAAGAAGCUGGAAUAUUGUGUGCCGACUGCCAUGGACCAGGAGGACUGGUUGCUGAGCAGUGCAUUUCCAUUACCUGAAAUGGAGUCAUUUUUGGUUUAACCUAGUACGAGAUCAGAAUCAGACUCAUUAAAUUUAGCCUUCAAGCUGCCGUCUUUCAUGAGAGCCCAUCAUGCAYCAAGAUCUGAAGAGCUGUUGCAUGUCUGAAACUGCCUGGCUUGUCUGGCUCAACAUACAAUAUUUUGAAGACGUAAAUUCUGGCUUGUAUCCAAGUGGAUGCCACUAAAAUCUUGCACGCUGCCUGGUAUGCAUUGAGCAACACUUAUUUCUGUGCCAGCUCAGAGUUUGAUGCAAAAAAUGUCCUAAAUAAUGUUCCAUUAAAGAACUCGUA